rnacentral:rRNA from 1 species
GGCCAGACUCCUACGGGAGGCAGCAGUAGGGAAUCUUUCACAAUGGGCGAAAGCCUGAUGGAGCAACGCCGCGUGCAGGAUGAAGGCCUUCGGGUUGUAAACUGCUUUUAUAAGCGAGAAAUAUGAUGGUAACUUAUGAAUAAGGAUCGGCUAACUACGUGCCAGCAGCCGCGGUAGUACGUAGGGGGCAAGCGUUAUCCGGAUUUACUGGGUGUAAAGGGAGCGUAGACGGCAAGGCAAGUCUGGAGUGAAAGCCCGUGGCCCAACCACGGGACUGCUUUGGAAACUGUGUUGCUGGAGUGCAGGAGGGGUAAGCGGAAUUCCUAGUGUAGCGGUGAAAUGCGUAGAUAUUAGGAGGAACACCGGUGGCGAAGGCGGCUUACUGGACUGUAACUGACGUUGAGGCUCGAAGGCGUGGGGAGCAAACAGGAUUAGAUACCCCAGUA